rnacentral:tRNA from 1 species
GGCCGGUUAACUCAGUUGGUUAGAGCGUGGUGCUAAUAACGCCAAGGUCACGGGUUCAACCCCCGUACCGGCCA